GAUGAACGCUGGCGGCGUGCCUAAUACAUGCAAGUCGAGCGAACGGACGAGAAGCUUGCUUCUCUGAUGUUAGCGGCGGACGGGUGAGUAACACGUGGAUAACCUACCUAUAAGACUGGGAUAACUUCGUGAAACCGUAGCUAAUACCGGAUAAUAUUUUGAACCGCAUGGUUCAAAAGUGAAAGACGGUCUUGCUGUCACUUAUAGAUGGAUCCGCGCUGCAUUAGCUAGUUGGUAAGGUAACGGCUUACCAAGGCAACGAUGCAUAGCCGACCUGAGAGGGUGAUCGGCCACACUGGAACUGAGACACGGUCCAGACUCCUACGGGAGGCAGCAGUAGGGAAUCUUCCGCAAUGGGCGAAAGCCUGACGGAGCAACGCCGCGUGAGUGAUGAAGGUCUUCGGAUCGUAAAACUCUGUUAUUAGGGAAGAACAUAUGUGUAAGUAACUGUGCACAGCUUGACGGUACCUAAUCAGAAAGCCACGGCUAACUACGUG
rnacentral:rRNA from 1 species